rnacentral:lncRNA from 1 species
GAAAAAUAACUUGUAUUCAUUCUUGUGUAUUUAUUACAAUAUAUAAAUAAUGGCAACUCUUUGUUUUAUACAUAUAUAAUUUAUAACUGAAUCUAAGUAUUAGACUGCUACUCAUAUUUUGAACUGCAGGUGUAGGACAGUGUUUGCUGGUAACAACUCCAAUGUGUAUUAAUAACUUGAAAAGGAGCAUUUCACUAUAAAAGAUAAUGAAGUAGGUAAUGAAAUCAGUCCUUGAAUGAAAGCAGUGCCCUUGAGAAGGGAUUUUUUUUUAAAUAUACAGUAAAAUAUUUCGUGGGAACCUAACACUCACAUAGCAUAUGGUUUAUUAAUAAUGCAUAUCCUUUCUAAUCACUUCUUCAAUUCUUUUUGCUGCAGUUCUGUGCUAAAAUGGGGUUGUGGUUAAGUGAACGAGAACUCUGCCUACCUAAGAAGUUCAUUGUGUUCUAAGUGGAAGGAGAGUUACUGAAGGGAAUGUGAAUUUUUACCGUUUGUACUUAAGAUACAUUUGUUGUCUAAAAUGGCUCUGGAUAACAUUUUUGGGUUAAAAAAUGUAAUUUAAAGCCACCAUAGAAAGUAUUUUCUGAUUUACUGUCCAAAUGAAUUUUGUUGUUAAUUGAGAAGUCAAUAAAAUGGAUUAAACUGACAGAAAAAAAACAUA